rnacentral:rRNA from 1 species
AUUGAACGCUGGCGGCAUGCCUUACACAUGCAAGUCGAACGGCAGCACGGGAGCAAUCCUGGUGGCGAGUGGCGAACGGGUGAGUAAUAUAUCGGAACGUGCCCAGUCGUGGGGGAUAACGUAGCGAAAGCUACGCUAAUACCGCAUACGAUCUAUGGAUGAAAGCGGGGGAUCGCAAGACCUCGCGCGAUUGGAGCGGCCGAUAUCAGAUUAGGUAGUUGGUGAGGUAAAGGCUCACCAAGCCGACGAUCUGCAGCUGGUCUGAGAGGACGACCAGCCACACUGGGACUGAGACACGGCCCAGACUCCUACGGGAGGCAGCAGUGGGGAAUUUUGGACAAUGGGCGCAAGCCUGAUCCAGCAAUGCCGCGUGCAGGAUGAAGGCCU